GAUGAACGCUGGCGGCGUGCCUAAUACAUACAAGUCGAGCGAACAGACGAGGAGCUUGCUCCUCUGACGUUAGCGGCGGACGGGUGGGUAACACGUGGAUAACCUACCUAUAAGACUGGGAUAACUUCGGGAAACCGGAGCUAAUACCGGAUAAUAUAUUGAACCGCAUGGUUCAAUAGUGAAAGACGGUUUUGCUGUCACUUAUAGAUGGAUCCGCGCCGCAUUAGCUAGUUGGUAAGGUAACGGCUUACCAAGGCGACGAUGCGUAGCCGACCUGAGAGGGUGAUCGGCCACACUGGAACUGAGACACGGUCCAGACUCCUACGGGAGGCAGCAGUAGGGAAUCUUCCGCAAUGGGCGAAAGCCUGACGGAGCAACGCCGCGUGAGUGAUGAAGGUCUUCGGAUCGUAAAACUCUGUUAUUAGGGAAGAACAAAUGUGUAAGUAACUAUGCACGUCUUGACGGUACCUAAUCAGAAAGCCACGGCUAACUACGUG
rnacentral:rRNA from 1 species